CGAGCGAACUGAUUAGAAGCUUGCUUCUAUGACGUUAGCGGCGGACGGGUGAGUAACACGUGGGCAACCUGCCUGUAAGACUGGGAUAACUCCGGGAAACCGGAGCUAAUACCGGAUAACAUUUUCUCUUGCAUAAGAGAAAAUUGAAAGAUGGUUUCGGCUAUCACUUACAGAUGGGCCCGCGGUGCAUUAGCUAGUUGGUGAGGUAACGGCUCACCAAGGCAACGAUGCAUAGCCGACCUGAGAGGGUGAUCGGCCACACUGGGACUGAGACACGGCCCAGACUCCUACGGGAGGCAGCAGUAGGGAAUCUUCCGCAAUGGACGAAAGUCUGACGGAGCAACGCCGCGUGAGUGAUGAAGGCUUUCGGGUCGUAAAACUCUGUUGUUAGGGAAGAACAAGUACAAGAGUAACUGCUUGUACCUUGACGGUACCUAACCAGAAAGCCACGGCUAACUACGUGCCAGCAGCCGCGGUAAUACGUAGGUGGCAAGCGUUAUCCGGAAUUAUUGGGCGUAAAGCGCGCGCAGGCGGUUUCUUAAGUCUGAUGUGAAAGCCCACGGCUCAACCGUGGAGGGUCAUUGGAAACUGGGGAACUUGAGUGCAGAAGAGAAAAGCGGAAUUCCACGUGUAGCGGUGAAAUGCGUAGAGAUGUGGAGGAACACCAGUGGCGAAGGCGGCUUUUUGGUCUGUAACUGACGCUGAGGCGCGAAAGCGUGGGGGAGCAAACAGGAUUAGAUACCCUGGUAGUCCACGCCGUAAACGAUGAGUGCUAAGUGUUAGAGGGUUUCCGCCCUUUAGUGCUGCAGCUAACGCAUUAAGCACUCCGCCUGGGGAGUACGGUCGCAAGACUGAAACUCAAAGGAAUUUGACGGGGG
rnacentral:rRNA from 2 species